rnacentral:rRNA from 1 species
UGCUGGAGGUAUCAGAAGUGCGAAUGCUGACAUAAGUAACGAUAAAGCGGGUGAAAAGCCCGCUCGCCGGAAGACCAAGGGUUCCUGUCCAACGUUAAUCGGGGCAGGGUGAGUCGACCCCUAAGGCGAGGCCGAAAGGCGUAGUCGAUGGGAAACAGGUUAAUAUUCCUGUACUUGGUGUUACUGCGAAGGGGGGACGGAGAAGGCUAUGUUAGCCGGGCGACGGUUGUCCCGGUUUAAGCAUGUAGGCUGGUUAUCCAGGCAAAUCCGGAUAAUCAAGGCUGAGGUGUGAUGACGAGGCACUACGGUGCUGAAGUAACAAAUGCCCUGCUUCCAGGAAAAGCCUCUAAGCAUCAGGUAACAUCAAAUCGUACCCCAAACCGACACAGGUGGUCAGGUAGAGAAUACCAAGGCGCUUGAGAGAACUCGGGUGAAGGAACUAGGCAAAAUGGUGCCGUAACUUCGGGAGAAGGCACGCUGGUGUGUAGGUGAAGCCCCUGCGGGUGGAGCUGAGACCAGUCGAAGAUACCAGCUGGCUGCAACUGUUUAUUAAAAACACAGCACUGUGCAAACACGAAAGUGGACGUAUACGGUGUGACGCCUGCCCGGUGCCGGAAGGUUAAUUGAUGGGGUUAUCCGUAAGGAGAAGCUCUUGAUCGAAGCCCCGGUAAACGGCGGCCGUAACUAUAACGGUCCUAAGGUAGCGAAAUUCCUUGUCGGGUAAGUUCCGACCUGCACGAAUGGCGUAAUGAUGGCCAGGCUGUCUCCACCCGAGACUCAGUGAAAUUGAACUCGCUGUGAAGAUGCAGUGUACCCGCGGCAAGACGGAAAGACCCCGUGAACCUUUACUAUAGCUUGACACUGAACAUUGAGCCUUGAUGUGUAGGAUAGGUGGGAGGCUUUGAAGCGUGGACGCCAGUCUGCGUGGAGCCAACCUUGAAAUACCACCCUUUAAUGUUUGAUGUUCUAACGUUGGCCCCUGACCGGGGUUGCGGACAGUGUCUGGUGGGUAGUUUGACUGGGGCGGUCUCCUCCCAAAGCGUAACGGAGGAGCACGAAGGUUAGCUAAUCCUGGUCGGACAUCAGGAGGUUAGUGCAAUGGCAUAAGCUAGCUUGACUGCGAGCGUGACGGCGCGAGCAGGUGCGAAAGCAGGUCAUAGUGAUCCGGUGGUUCUGAAUGGAAGGGCCAUCGCUCAACGGAUAAAAGGUACUCCGGGGAUAACAGGCUGAUACCGCCCAAGAGUUCAUAUCGACGGCGGUGUUUGGCACCUCGAUGUCGGCUCAUCACAUCCUGGGGCUGAAGUAGGUCCCAAGGGUAUGGCUGUUCGCCAUUUAAAGUGGUACGCGAGCUGGGUUUAGAACGUCGUGAGACAGUUCGGUCCCUAUCUGCCGUGGGCGCUGGAGAAUUGAGGGGGGCUGCUCCUAGUACGAGAGGACCGGAGUGGACGCAUCACUGGUGUUCGGGUUGUCAUGCCAAUGGCACUGCCCGGUAGCUAAAUGCGGAAGAGAUAAGUGCUGAAAGCAUCUAAGCACGAAACUUGCCCCGAGAUGAGUUCUCCCUGAGACUUUAAGUCUCCUGAAGGAACGUUGAAGACGACGACGUUGAUAGGCCGGGUGUGUAAGCGCAGCGAUGCGUUGAGCUAACCGGUACUAAUGAACCGUGAGGCUUAACCUUACAACGCCGAAG